GGAAUCUUCAGACGCACAUAAUGACAUGGUCGACAUUAUGGAAGUUCAUGGAGUAUGCCCGUGGCCAGACAAAUCUCCAUCUCUUGGAGGUUGAAGUUGCAAGGAGAGACUGAUGGAAAAUGACAAUGACUGGACAGACAAAGAUGAUGGUGAAGAAGUAUAGAAAACUUGGGAAAACUUUUAAUAGUGGUCAUCAACAUGCAGUCAUUGAUUCCAGUAUUCCAGCCAAUGUAUCCCUCUUCCUACAAGAAGCAAUACCAGGAAAUAUGCCACAUUCAUCAGCCAGGUAGUCAUUUAUCCCAAGUGGCAAAGUAAGAUACAGCCUGACACCAAAAUACCCAUUCUUGGAAAAGGAGUGGCAUGUUUUGUGCUGCGGACACUGCAG
rnacentral:lncRNA from 1 species